GACGAACCGUCCAAACGUUAUUCGGAAUUACUGGGCUUAAAGGGUGCGUAGGCGGCCUGUUAAGUUGGGUGUGAAAUCCCUCGGCUCAACCGAGGAACUGCGCCCAAAACUAGCAGGCUUGAGGGAGUCAGAGGUGAGCGGAACUCAGGGUGGAGCGGUGAAAUGCGUUGAUAUCCUGGGGAACACCGGUUGCGAAAGCGGCUCACUGGGGCUCUUCUGACGCUGAGGCACGAAAGCUAGGGGAG
rnacentral:rRNA from 1 species